UAGUCUCUCAUGAUGUCCCUUGGCCUGGA
rnacentral:piRNA from 1 species